rnacentral:rRNA from 1 species
GAUGAACGCUGGCGGCGUGCCUAAUACAUGCAAGUCGAGCGAACAGACGAGGAGCUUGCUCCUCUGACGUUAGCGGCGGACGGGUGAGUAACACGUGGAUAACCUACCUAUAAGACUGGGAUAACUUCGGGAAACCGGAGCUAAUACCGGAUAAUAUAUUGAACCGCAUGGUUCAAUAGUGAAAGGCGGUUUUGCUGUCACUUAUAGAUGGAUCCGCGCCGCAUUAGCUAGUUGGUAAGGUAACGGCUUACCAAGGCAACGAUGCGUAGCCGACCUGAGAGGGUGAUCGGCCACACUGGAACUGAGACACGGCCCAGACUCCUACGGGAGGCAGCAGUAGGGAAUCUUCCGCAAGGGGCGAAAGCCUGACGGAGCACCGCCGCGUGACUGAUGAAGGUCUUCGGAUCGUAAAACUCUGUUAUGAGGGAAGAACAAAUGUGUAAGUAACUAUGCACGUCUCGACGGAACCUAAUCAGAAAGCCACGGCUAACUACGUG